rnacentral:rRNA from 1 species
GACUGAGUGGCGGACGGGUGAGUAACGCGUGGAUAACCUGCCUCACACAGGGGGAUAACAGUUGGAAACGGCUGCUAAUACCGCAUAAGCGCACAGCACCGCAUGGUGCAGUGUGAAAAACUCCGGUGGUGUGAGAUGGAUCCGCGUCUGAUUAGCUUGUUGGCGGGGUAACGGCCCACCAAGGCGACGAUCAGUAGCCGGCCUGAGAGGGCGAUCGGCCACAUUGGGACUGAGACACGGCCCAGACUCCUACGGGAGGCAGCAGUGGGGAAUAUUGCACAAUGGGGGAAACCCUGAUGCAGCGACGCCGCGUGAGCGAUGAAGUAUUUCGGUAUGUAAAGCUCUAUCAGCAGGGAAGAUAAUGACGGUACCUGACUAAGAAGCUCCGGCUAAAUACGUGCCAGCAGCCGCGGUAAUACGUAUGGAGCAAGCGUUAUCCGGAUUUACUGGGUGUAAAGGGAGCGUAGGCGGUCCUGCAAGUCUGAUGUGAAAGGCCGGGGCUCAACCCCGGGACUGCAUUGGAAACUGUAGGACUAGAG